GAGCGCUAGUUGGGUGUCCGGAGACUCGG
rnacentral:sRNA from 1 species